rnacentral:rRNA from 1 species
CCGAAAUAGCUUUAGGGCUAGCCUCGAGGUAAAGAGUCAUGGAGGUAGAGCACUGUUUGGACUAGGGGCCCUUCUCGGGUUACCGAAUUCAGAUAAACUCCGAAUGCCAUGUACUUAUACUCGGGAGUCAGACUGCGAGUGAUAAGAUCCGUAGUCGAAAGGGAAACAGCCCAGACCACCAGUUAAGGUCCCCAAAUAUAUGUUAAGUGGAAAAGGAUGUGGGGUUGCUUAGACAACCAGGAUGUUGGCUUAGAAGCAGCCACCAUUGAAAGAGUGCGUAAUAGCUCACUGGUCGAGUGACCCCGCGCCGAAAAUGUACCGGGGCUAAACAUAUUACCGAAACUGUGGAUGAACCUCUUUAGAGGUUCGUGGUAGGAGAGCGUUCUAAGGGCGGUGAAGUCAGACCGGAAGGACUGGUGGAGCGC